UACGUAGGUGGCGAGCGUUGUCCGGAUUUACUGGGCGUAAAGGGAGCGUAGGCGGACUUUUGAGUGAGAUGUGAAAUACCCGGGCUCAACUUGGGUGCUGCAUUUCAAACUGGAAGUCUAGAGUGCAGGAGAGGAGAAUGGAAUUCCUAGUGUAGCGGUGAAAUGCGUAGAGAUUAGGAAGAACACCAGUGGCGAAGGCGAUUCUCUGGACUGUAACUGACGCUGAGGCUCGAAAGCGUGGGGAGCAAACAGGAUUAGAUA
rnacentral:rRNA from 1 species